GUGCUCGCUUUGGCAGCACAUAUACUAAAAUUGGAACGAUACAGAGAAGAUUAGCAUGGCCCAGGCAAAUUCGUGAAGCGUUCCAUAUUUUU
rnacentral:snRNA from 1 species